UACGAAGGGGGCUAGCGUUGUUCGGAAUUACUGGGCGCAAAGCGCGCGCAGGCGGUCUUCCAAGUCAGUGGUGAAAGCCCGGAGCUCAACUCCGGAACUGCCAUUGAAACUGUAAGACUUGAGGAUGAGAGAGGUGAGUGGAAUUCCCAGUGUAGAGGUGAAAUUCGUAGAUAUUGGGAAGAACACCGGUGGCGAAGGCGGCUCACUGGCUCAUAUCUGACGCUCAGGCGCGACAGCGUGGGGAUCAAACAGG
rnacentral:rRNA from 1 species